UACGUAGGAGACGAGCGUUGUCCGGAAUUACUGGGCGUAAAGCGCGUGUAGGCGGAUGAGCAAGUCUGCUGUGAAAGCUCCUGGCUUAACCGGGAGUGGUCGGUGGAAACUGCUCGUCUGGAGGACGGUAGAGGUAGGUAGAAUUCCCGGUGUAGUGGUGAAAUGCGUAGAGAUCGGGAGGAAUACCUGUGGCGAAGGCGCCUUGCUGGCCGAUUUCUGACGCUGAGGCGCGAAAGCGUGGGGAGCAAACAGG
rnacentral:rRNA from 1 species